rnacentral:rRNA from 1 species
GAUGAACGCUAGCUACAGGCUUAACACAUGCAAGUCGAGGGGUAACGAGAGGAAAGCUUGCUUUCCUUGUCGACGACCGGCGCACGGGUGAGUAACGCGUAUCCAACCUGCCCCCAACUAGGGAAUAACCUUGCGAAAGUAAGACUAAUACCCUAUAGUUUCCUCAGAUGUCAUCUGACGAGGAAUAAAGAUUUAUCGGUUGUGGAUGGGGAUGCGUCUGAUUAGCUAGUUGGCGGGGUAACGGCCCACCAAGGCAACGAUCAGUAGGGGUUCUGAGAGAAAGGUCCCCCACAUUGGAACUGAGACACGGUCCAAACUCCUACGGGAAGCAGCAGUGAGGAAUAUUGGUCAAUGGGCGGAAGCCUGAACCAGCCAAGUAGCGUGCAGGAUGACGGCCCUAUGGGUUGUAAACUGCUUUUAUACAGGAAUAAAGUUAGCCACGUGUGGUUAUUUGUAGGUACUGUAUGAAUAAGGACCGGCUAAUUCCGUGCCAGCCGCCGCGGUAA